rnacentral:rRNA from 1 species
GCGACCCCAGGUCAGGUGGGACUACCCGCU